CACGGGCAGGAGGGAGGCUAGUACUGAGAUUGUCCCCCGGGGUCAGUAGGAGAGAGUUGGCGUGGUCAAGGUCAGUUGCAGAGAGACUGAAAGAAAAAUUGUUCAGGAAAAGGAAUGCAGCGGCAAUGCGGUGCCAUGUGUAAAAUGCAUUGGAGGAGGUGCUGGGAUCCUAGUUAGGAGGCCGUGACAGUGCUUGGAAAAGGCAAGGGUGGUGGCAGAAAGACGCCAUGCAUUUAGAGCUGGUGCAAUCUACCAAAUUGAUUUCAUGGAAGAUUUAAACCAGUUCAAGAUAUUUGGAAGAGGAAAUGCCACUACAAAUGCAGGUGGUUUUGGAUCAGGGAGAUA